UACGGGGGGUGCAAGCGUUAUCCGGAUUCACUGGGUUUAAAGGGCGCGUAGGUGGGCAGGUAAGUCAGUGGUGAAAUCCCCGAGCUUAACUUGGGAACUGCCAUUGAUACUAUUUGUCUUGAAUACUGUGGAGGUUAGCGGAAUAUGUCAUGUAGCGGUGAAAUGCUUAGAUAUGACAUAGAACACCAAGUGCGAAGGCAGCUGGCUACACAAAUAUUGACACUGAUGCACGAAAGCGUGGGGAGCAAACAGG
rnacentral:rRNA from 1 species